UUUUUUUUUUUUUUUUUUUUUUUUUUUUUUUUAUCGUUUUUUUUUUUUUUUUUUUUUUUUUUUUUUUUUUUUUUUUUUUUUUUUUUUUUUUUUUUUUUUUAUCCCUACGCCUCCGAGUUUUAUGUUUCGGAGUCCUUAUUUACAAUACGUAUAAUUUACAUCUAGGUCUCUUUUAUCAUACUUCUCGCUUUUAAUCCAUUGCACUGUCAUUCCGCAUUCCAGUUUCUUCUUUUAUCCAUCCGCAUUCAUUCAUUGUGGGGUAUUUCCCCUCAUCAAAUUA
rnacentral:misc_RNA from 1 species